AGAGUUUGAUUCUGGCUCAGGAUGAACGCUAGCUACAGGCUUAACACAUGCAAGUCGAGGGGCAUCAGGGACUGUGCUUGCACAGUUUGCUGGCGACCGGCGCACGGGUGAGUAACGCGUAUCCAACCUUCCCUUAGUAGGGCAUAGCCCGUAGAAAUGCGGAUUAAUACCCUAUGUUCUUCGUCGAGGACAUCUGAAGUGAAGCAAAGAUUUAUCGCUAAGGGAUGGGGAUGCGUCUGAUUAGGCAGCAGGCGGGGUAACGGCCCACCUGACCGACGAUCAGUAGGGUUCUGAGAGGAAGGUCCCCCACAUUGGAACUGAGACACGGUCCAAACUCCUACGGGAGGCAGCAGUGAGGAAUAUUGGUCAAUGGUCGAGAGACUGAACCAGCCAAGUAGCCGUGCAGGAUGACGGCCCUAUGGGUUGUAAACUGCUUUUAUGCGGGGAUAAAGUGAGGGACGUGUCCCUUUUUGUAGGUACCGCAUGAAUAAGGACCGGCUAAUUCCGUGCCAGCCGCGGC
rnacentral:rRNA from 1 species